CCUACGGGCGGCUGCAGUCGGGAAUUUUGGGCAAUGGGCGAAAGCCUGACCCAGCAACGCCGCGUGAAGGAUGAAGUAUUUCGGGAUGUAAACUUCGAAAGAAUGGGAAGAAUAAAUGACGGUACCAUUUAUAAGGUCCGGCUAACUACGUGCCAGCAGCCGCGGUAAUACGUAGGGACCAAGCGUUGUUCGGAUUUACUGGGCGUAAAGCGCGCGUAGGCGGCUAGGUAAGUCGGUUGUGAAAUCCCUCGCCUUAACCGAGGUCCCGCGUCCGUUACUGUCUGGCUCGAGUCUAGGAGAGGAAAGCGGAAUUCCCAGUGUAGCGGUGAAAUGCGUAGAUAUUGGGAGGAACACCGGUGGCGAAGGCGGCUUUCCGGACUAGUACUGACGCUGAGGCGCGAAAGCUAGGGGAGCGAACGGGAUUAGAUACCCCGGUAGUC
rnacentral:rRNA from 1 species